rnacentral:tRNA from 1 species
UAUUUUGUGGCUUAGUUGGUUGAAGCGCUGGCGCUCUAGCGAAUACGGAGACGUGGGUUCUAACCCCACCAGAACAG